rnacentral:lncRNA from 10 species
AAGAGCCUCGCCUCUUUACUCCUCCCACACCAUUCUCCUGCCUCAGCCUCCCGAGUAGCCGGGACUACAGGCGCCCGCCACCACGCCCGGGUAAUUUUUUGUAUUUUUAGUAGAAACGGGGUUUCACCGUGUUAGCCAGGAUGGUCUCCAUCUCCUGACCUCGUGAUCCACCCGCCUCAGCCUCCCAAAGUGCUGGGAUUACAGGCGUGAGCCACCGCGCCCGGCCAACACUGGUAAUUCUUAAAUAGACUCCCCAGUGAUUCUAAAGCUCAGCCAGCAUUGAGAAUCACUGUUUUUGUAUAUUUAAGAUUUCAUCUUUUAUAAUUGUCUUUGAUUUAUCUGGAAUUUGUACUAAGGUAAAAUGCGAUAUGAAAAUCAACUCCAUGUAUUUCCAAAUGGCUUUUCAAUCAUUCCAAUACCAUUUAAUAAAUGUCAGUCAUUCCAAUACCAACACCGACUUCAAAAGAGAGAAAUCUCUGCUCCCACCACUUAGUAUCUGGGUGAUUUGGGGCAAAUUACUUAAACUCUUUUUGCUUCAGUUUCUUCAUCUGUAAAAUAAGGAUAACGAUAAUACCUCUCAGAGUUAUUGUGAGGACUGAAAAGCUAAUACAUUUAAAGCACUUUAAAUAGUAUCUGGGCCUCAGUAAAAUGCUAUAUUGAUAUUUGGUACAAUUAUUUGUUUUGGUUACUACAAAUGAAGAUGUGUAAGUCAACGCAUAGAUAUAAUGAACUAUCAUAUAAUCAUUACAAAUUAUGCUUUAAA